CUCCUCAUCCUUGAAUCUAGAUCUCUUCUUCUAGAUUUUGAAGAAGGAGAUCACUGCGCAAACUCUUUCGUACAGAUCCGAUGGGAUUUGAACCAGAUCAUUAUGAAAAGAAGAAGAACCCUUAUUCUUCUCUCUCUUUUUCUCUCUUAGAUCUGAUCACCUAUCAGAUCUGGGCAUUAGGGAUGAAGGGGAGAAAGAAGAUGAGG
rnacentral:lncRNA from 1 species